rnacentral:rRNA from 1 species
AUUGAACGCUAACGGCGUGCUUAACACAUGCAAGUCGAGCGGCAGCACAGUAGUAGCAAUACUAUGGGUGGCGAGCGGCGGACGGGUGAGUAAUACAUAGGAAUCUGCCUUAUAGUGGGGGAUAACCCGGGGAAACUCGGGCUAAUACCGCCUCAUCUCUACGGAGCAAAGUAUGGGACCCUCGGGCCAUUUGCUAAAAGAUGAGCCUAUGUUGGAUUAGCUAGUUGGUAGGGUAACAGCCUACCAAGGCAACGAUCCAUAGCUGAUCUGAGAGGAUGAUCAGUCACACUGGGACUGAGACACGGCCCAGACUCCUACGGGAGGCAGCAGGGGGGAAUAUUGGACAAUGGGCGCAAGUCUGAUCCAGCAACGCCGUGUGUGUGAAGAAGGCCUUAGGGUUGUAAAGCACUUUUAGUGGGGAAGGAAAGUUCAUGGCUAAUAUCCAGGAAUGCUGACGUUACCCACAGAAAAAGCACUGGCUAACUCUGUGCCAGCCGCCGCAGUAA